GUGAAGAGAUAAUUCAUUUUUUAUUCAAAAUUUUAUUUUCCAUGCAUUUGUACAGGGAGUCUAUAUACAUUUGAGGUGAGCGGCAGAUUUAAUUUUGAAGAUGGGUGACUUUCAGAUGUUGUGAUGAAGAUUGUUGAAAGGGAUUAUCUACAUAGAACCAGUCCAUAUGAAUGUGCAAGUCAGAAACAAGGAAUGUGGAGCUAAUGCAUGCUGCUUAGGAUGGAAAGGUCUUGUGUUUAUUGGUUGUGCCUGAGACACCAGUCACAGUUGUACCUUACUUCCAUUUUAGGGAGUCUAUACAUUUGAGGUGAGCGGCAGAUUUAAUUUUGAAGAUGGGUGACUUUCAGAUGUUGUGAUGAAGAUUGUUGAAAGGAAUUAUCAGCAUAGAACCAAUCCAUAUGAAUGUGCAAGUCAGGUGAGGAUUGGGCCUAAAAAAAAUUUUGUUUGUUUCCUGUAACCCGACCGACCCAUUCAAAUUAUGCCUGGGUGGAUUUUUUUCCCUGACAAA